AGAGGGUUAGAGGGCAGUUCGAUCCUGGAGCUCAAACUGGGAGGAGACCCGCAGACAGCUUUCCUUCAGAUCAGUCAUUUUGGCAACCAUGAAAGGAUGCAGUCUUUAACCCUAAAAGUGAAUCUAACAAUAUUGGUUUAUCUUUUUAAGACUUUUAAAUUCCUCGAUUUCAUAAGCAAAGGAUAAACUAUGGGAGUGGAAACACCGAGGAAAAGCAACUGCCUGAAUACAGAGGUUGAGGGGACAUGACAGAGGAGAGACUCUAAAUGAACACUCUAAUGCAAAUACUAUCAACAAAGCAAUGGGUUCAAAUCAAGAAAACAUCUAAUGCCCAGUGGACUUACGCAUCGGCUAU